UGCCGGUCUCCCCGCAAUGUGAAACGGUCAAUCCCGCCAGGUCCGGAAGGAAGCAACGGUCGCCGUCUAGCAUGUGCCGGGGCCGGGCUGGCAGGG
rnacentral:SRP_RNA from 1 species